rnacentral:rRNA from 1 species
ACGACGAAAACCUUACCUACCCUUGACAUGUCUGGAACCUUGGUGAGAGCCGAGGGUGCCUUCGGGAGCCAGAACACAGGUGCUGCAUGGCUGUCGUCAGCUCGUGUCGUGAGAUGUUGGGUUAAGUCCCGCAACGAGCGCAACCCUUAUCAUUAGUUGCUACGCAAGGGCACUCUAAUGAGACUGCCGGUGACAAACCGGAGGAAGUGGGGAUGACGUCAAGUCCUCAUGGCCCUUAUGGGUAGGGCUUCACACGUCAUACAAUGGUCGGUACAGAGGGUUGCCAAGCCGCGAGGCGGAGCCAAUCCCACAAAGCCGAUCGUAGUCCGGAUUGUUCUCUGCAACUCGAGAGCAUGAAGUCGGAAUCGCUAGUAAUCGCGGAUCAGCAUGUCGCGGUGAAUACGUUCCCGGGCCUU